AAAACUGGUCUGGAGCCCAACCCCCAGCCCCCUACACCAGGUCAGCCUGUGGAAUUUAGAUUCUCCUCUUCUCUUCCUGCCUUCCCCUCCAGGAGUGGGAACUGGUGGUGCUGGGGAAGUUGAAGUGGAACCUGGCAGCUGUCACUCCUCAUGACUUCAUUGAGCACAUCUUGCGCAAGCUGCCCCAGCAGCGGGAGAAGCUGUCUCUGAUCCGCAAGCAUGCUCAGACCUUCAUUGCUCUGUGUGCCACCGACUUUAAGUUUGCCAUGUACCCACCGUCGAUGAUCGCAACUGGAAGUGUGGGAGCAGCCAUCUGUGGGCUCCAGCAGGAUGAGGAAGUGAGCUCGCUCACUUGUGAUGCCCUGACUGAGCUGCUGGCUAAGAUCACCAACACAGACGUGGUAGGUGGCCACCACCUUCUUGGCUAAGUCCAGAUGUCUCUUCUCAGCUCAGGGAAGGAGACGACGGAUUUGAUUAUGUUGUGUCAGAGGUAUUUUUCUGGUUUGUUUCCUAAGAUCGACAUCCAAGGGAGUGCAGAGUUCAGCAGGUGACACCCCCUCUUAAGGUUCUGA
rnacentral:sRNA from 1 species